rnacentral:rRNA from 1 species
UACAGAGGGUGCGAGCGUUAAUCGGAGUUACUGGGUGUAAAGGGCGCGUAGGCGGCAUGAUGUGUGCGAUGUGAAAGCCCCGGGCUUAACCUGGGAAGUGCAUUGCAAACUAUCGGGCUAGAGUACAUGAGAGGGUGGCGGAAUUUCCGGUGUGGCGGUGAAAUGCGUAGAGAUCGGAAGGAACGUCAAUGGCGAAGGCAGCCACCUGGCUUAAUACUGACGCUGAGGCGCGAAAGCGUGGGGAUCGAACAGG